ACCAUAACUAGCCUUCUACAACAAUUUUCCCCACUGUUGCCGUAGAAGAUGUUGCCGUAGCUAUCUAUUAAUCUAGCAUGUUACAACAAUUUUUAAUUGCGUUAGCAUAGACAUAAACAAAGUGUUGCCAAACAAUUAAAUAGGCAAAGUAUAUUAAUUUUAAUAAAGAAAUAUGUAAAGGAAAAGAAAAUAUUUUUAAUAAAGAAAUAUUUUUAAUCAAUAUUUUAUAUAUAUGCGGGUCCCACUAAAAAAUUGCCACGCUGUUUGAACAACUCAGCUCCAAAUUACACUAAUUCAUCAUCGACACUCAACCCCCUUUCUCAAUGUCGAAAGCUAAAAAAUAGGGUUCGAGAGCGGCGAAGAGAGGGCUGGAAAUGGAAGCAAGCUGUGAGUUAAGGGAGGAUUAAAACUUUAUUAGUUCUUGAACUGGGGUUGAAUUUAAUCUUCUUUGAUUUAAGGUACUAUUCUUACUCGAUUUUGUUUCUUGUACCUGUAUAUGCAUAUGCCUGUGUAUGUACAUCUCUCUCUCUCUCUCCUGAGCUGUUCCUUCUCAUGUCUAGGUCAGAUUCACUGUUCGAUUUUCGCUUGCAUCGCUAAUUACUACUAAUCACACUCUAGAUCCGCGAAUCUCGGAUACGUGUUUCGCCUAAUUCAACUCGAAUCUGUUGUUAAUCUGUUAAUUAGUGUUUGACUCAGGUCUUGACUUCAUUAAUUAAGGCUCAGCUACUUGGAUAAUGUUUAUCUUACUUACUGUGUCUAUAGCUUGAAUGGCCUGAUGAUAUAAAACCCCAGGUUAGCUGUAAUUUUAUUGAUUUUUUACAUUGUUAUUUCUAUUUAUGCCUCUUUGAAAUAAUUUGCUCCUCAAUCAGGGUAGUAUGCACUAUGCACUUUAAGUAUUAUUGCUGAUAUUGUUUAAUUUACUUACUGUGUCUAUAGCUUGGGAUCAUUUGCUCAUUUGGGUUCUUGUUUAAGUAGUGCAACCGACAGUUUGUUAUGUUUAUGUUGCUUUGGAAUCUUCCACACAAGCUUAAGAUUGGUUUGUUCUUGCAGGGUGAUGGUUGAUAAUGUUGGUUGUGCUAAUGCCACCAGAGUUAUAGUAUGCACUACAGUAGUUUCUUAGAACCACCCAACUUUUUGUAUUUAAAUAAAAAGUCUUGUUUUUUGACUAAUAAUAGUUGAUUUCUUGACUAAUUGUCCUGUUUUUCUCAAAGAUUGGUAGUGCCAGAAAACAUGGAAUUCUUUUAGAAGCCAUUUAAAUCCUCACAGAUCUUGACAUGUCGAUUAAGAAAGCUUAUAUUUCUUCUUAUGAAAGAUGGUUCAUGGAUGUCUCUAGGUAAAAUCCAAUUUGCUGGAUCGAAAAGUAUUGAGAGGUUAACACCGGAGCAGGUACUGCCAUACUUAUAUCCACUUAUCUUGCUGAUUUGUUUGCUUUUAUCCAGUAAACUUUAAUAAUAAUUUUAAUGUUGUGUGUUAGUUCCAACACAAUAUGAUUCAGAGACCAUUCCAAUUCUUGUUGUGCCAUCCCUUUUAAUAGUUGACAUGCUAGUAAUUAAUUACGAGCAAUACAGAGCAUUAUUAAUUAAUUUUGUUUAUGUUCUGUUUCUCUGAUCUAGACACUGAUUAUAACUUAUAUUUGGUCUAACCUCUAACAAUAGCAAGACGUUUGUUCUUGGAAUCUUGCUUCAUGGAAACAAAUAUUUGAGUGUGGAGUGUUGGUUCAAAGAAACAGGUGCUUCUGAUUGACAAGUUUGAAAGAUUUAUCUUUAAGCCAAUGUUACAUGAGCUUCUGAGUGGAGAAGUAGAUUCAUGGGAAAUAGCUCCACGGUUUUCAGAUCUUCUAGCAAAAACUGGUGUGCAAUUUUUACAAGAUAGAGUGAAACUUCUUCAUCCAUAUGAUAAUUUGCGACUGAGCGGGCCUACAAGAAUGGGAGACUUGCUAUGUUUGCGGUGCUCGGAUUCUUUAUGAUUUGUUAAGUGUUUGACAUAAGUAGUAGUAUGGAUGUAUAUUUUGGAUGUUUUUGGAAUGUAUGGAAAUCUAUGUAUUCAAAUAGUACCUUUCAAUUUGAUAAUUUUUAGAACCUAUUGCAAUAGUCAUAUAAAA